AGGGCGUAUAGUACGAGGUCGUAGACCCGAAACCAGGUGAUCUACCCAUGUCCAGGGUGAAGGUAGGGUAAUACCUACUGGAGGCCCGAACCCACGCACGUUGAAAAGUGCGGGGAUGAGGUGUGGGUAGGGGUGAAAUGCCAAUCGAACUUGGAGAUAGCUGGUUCUCCCCGAAAUAGCUUUAGGGCUAGCCUCGAGUGAAGAGUCUUGGAGGUAGAGCACUGAUUGGGCUAGGGGCCCUCAUCGGGUUACCGAACUCAGUCAAACUCCGAAUGCCAAUGACUUAUACUCGGGAGUCAGACUACGAGUGAUAAGAUCCGUGGUCAAGAGGGAAACAGCCCAGAUCACCAGCUAAGGUCCCAAAGUAUACGUUAAGUGGAAAAGGAUGUGGAGUUGCUUAGACAACCAGGAUGUUGGCUUAGAAGCAGCCACCAUUUAAAGAGUGCGUAAUAGCUCACUGGUCGAGUGACUCUGCGCCGAAAAUGUACCGGGGCUAAACGUAUCACCGAAGCUGUGGGACGACUUGCGUCGUCGGUAGGGGAGCGUUCUAAGGGCGUCGAAGCUAGACCGGAAGGACUAGUGGAGCGCUUAGAAGUGAGAAUGCCGGUGUGAGUAGCGAAAACAGAGGUGAGAAUCCUCUGCACCGAAAGCCUAAGGUUUCCUGAGGAAGGCUCGUCCGCUCAGGGUUAGUCGGGACCUAAGCCGAGGCCGAAAGGCGUAGGCGAUGGACAACAGGUUGAUAUUCCUGUACCACCUCCUCACCGUUUGAGCAAUGGGGGGACGCAGGAGGAUAGGGUCAGCGCGCGACUGGUUGUGCGCGUCCAAGCAGUUAGGCGCCUCAAGUAGGCAAAUCCGCUUGAGUAGGCUGAGCUGUGAUGGCGAGGGAAAUAAAGUACCGAAGUGCCUGAUUCCACACUGCCAAGAAAAGCCUCUAGCGAGGUGAGAGGUGCCCGUACCGCAAACCGACACAGGUAGGCGAGGAGAGAAUCCUAAGGUGCGCGGGAGAACUCUCGUUAAGGAACUCGGCAAAAUGACCCCGUAACUUCGGGAGAAGGGGUGCUCCCUCGGGUGAAUAGCCCAGGGGAGCCGCAGUGAAAAGGCCCAAGCGACUGUUUAUCAAAAACACAGGUCUCUGCGAAGCCGUAAGGCGAAGUAUAGGGGCUGACACCUGCCCGGUGCUGGAAGGUUAAGGGGAGCGCUUAGCGCAAGCGAAGGUGCGAACCGAAGCCCCAGUAAACGGCGGCCGUAACUAUAACGGUCCUAAGGUAGCGAAAUUCCUUGUCGGGUAAGUUCCGACCCGCACGAAAGGUGUAACGACUUGGGCACUGUCUCAACGAGAGACCCGGUGAAAUCAUAGUACCUGUGAAGAUGCAGGUUACCCGCGACAGGACGGAAAGACCCCGUGGAGCUUUACUGCAGCCUGAUAUUGAAUGUUGGUGCGACAUGUACAGCAUAGGUGGGAGACUGAGAAGCCUGGACGCCAGUCUAGGUGGAGUCGCCGUUGGGAUACCACCCUUGUCGUACUGAGAUUCUAACCCGCACCCCUGAUCGGGGUGGGAGACAGUGUCAGGUGGGCAGUUUGACUGGGGCGGUCGCCUCCCAAAGCGUAACGGAGGCGCCCAAAGGUUCCCUCAGAAUGGUUGGAAAUCAUUCGUAGAGUGUAAAGGCAGAAGGGAGCUUGACUGCGAGACCUACAAGUCGAGCAGGGACGAAAGUCGGGCUUAGUGAUCCGGUGGUUCCGAAUGGAAGGGCCAUCGCUCAACGGAUAAAAGCUACCCCGGGGAUAACAGGCUUAUCUCCCCCAAGAGUCCACAUCGACGGGGAGGUUUGGCACCUCGAUGUCGGCUCAUCGCAUCCUGGGGCUGUAGUCGGUCCCAAGGGUUGGGCUGUUCGCCCAUUAAAGCGGUACGCGAGCUGGGUUCAGAACGUCGUGAGACAGUUCGGUCCCUAUCCGUCGCGGGCGUAGGAAAUUUGAGAGGAGCUGUCCUUAGUACGAGAGGACCGGGAUGGACGCACCGCUGGUGUACCAGUUGU
rnacentral:rRNA from 1 species